GCAGCUCCCAGCUCGCCGCCCCCAGCCCCCCACCUCCGCGGCUAGUCCCCUCCCUCGAUUUCGAUCCGAAGGGUAGCUGGACUUUUAUUCUACGUUUGCUAUCUGCCGCCUCCCUCUUUUUUCCCCUCCUGUCGUCCUUCCUUUUCCCAGCUCGAAAAUAAACUGAAACCUUUUGCAGGAGGGUGCGUGUGAGGAACAGAUGGAGGUGGCGUUCAAACGGAGCACCGGCGGACUCUGGACCACAGCCGGACUGUCAACACCAGGGGUGCACAGGGGCCUCGAACACCCAAUAUUCUCUCCUCCUCAGUAAUUGAAAUCUCUCGCGGGGCGGCCGCCAGGAAUCGACGGGAUUUCUCUGGCUGCGGUUUGCACUGCCUCUAUCCGAAUAAAUCCAGCUCGCUGCCAACGGGCAGGGAACGCCUCCUGGUUCUCCUGUACGCAGACGCAUCGGCCUGGAACGCGACCCACCGUGGCCUCUCGUGCUCGUGAGGCGGCAGGUGGGGCCUUCCAGGGAGAUUGGACGAUCAGCGCCCUGGGGCCGAGGGGCCCCUUGCUGCCCCGCUGUGCCUAGCAGCCCCCACUUCUGGUGGAUGCUUCAGGAACCCACCAGUCCGAGCCCGAGCCCGCCCGCGGCGAAAACUGAAAGCAAAUUCGGCGGGAGAGGAAGCCCGAACUUUCUUCCAUGCAAGUUUGCAGCGGAGAAUUGGCGGAGGCUUUGGGAGGUCAGCGCGACAGCGUGUUGCGAGAAGGUGGGGCUGUAGGCGAGGAGGGCCAGGGGCAGCCUGCAGAGCGCGGGCCCGGGCGAAACGCUAGGGAAGGUGCCUCUCCUCCUUGAUGUCUCGCCAGCUCCUUGGCCGGUCUGUAAAAACAGUUCCCAGGGUGCCGCGGGCGUCUAGGAUGUGUUCGCGGGGACUGCACCGGGGAGGAGCUGGCUUUGUGAAAGUUGCAGGAAGAGCUUUCGGAGAAGCGUCCGCCCAGCCGGGCGCAGGAAAGCUUGGGACCAGUUAGCCUUACCCCGGGCGAAACGGUCAGAAACCCUCUUGGGGAAGGGGGUGGGGGGAGUCCAUCGGUGGGG